GCCUGGGUGGCUCAGUCUGUUAAGCGUCCGACUUCCACUCAGGUCAUGAUCUCGUGAUUUAUGAGUUCAAGCCUCAUAUCGGGCU
rnacentral:tRNA from 1 species